CCAUCCAGAAUGUCACAUGUUCUUCACGUGACUUACUAUUAGAUUAUUUAUUAUUAUUAAAAACAAAACUAUUUAGAACAUUGAAAAAAACUCUCUCUCGCUGAAACCCAGAAAAUCUCUCAAACUUUAUUAUCCAUGAAAGUCGCCCAUACCCAUUAACAGUGACGAACCCAUAAAUCUUACCUCAUGGGGUCAUAGUGUAAAAGUUAUUUUUUUUUUUUUUAAAGAUUAAAAUAACAUUAGAAAUGAAACUGUAGUACGUACAUUCAUAAUUCGUAUGAAAAACAACAUUACAAGCUACAGUUAUCCACGACUAGGUUUCAUAUUUUG
rnacentral:lncRNA from 1 species